rnacentral:rRNA from 1 species
UACGGGGGGGGCAAGCGUUGUUCGGAAUUACUGGGCGUAAAGGGCGCGUAGGCGGUCAGACUAAGUCAGAUGUAAAAUUCCUGGGCUUAACCCAGAUAGGUCAUUUGAUACUGGUCGACUAGAGUGUGGAAGGGGUUACUGGAAUUCCUGGUGUAGCGGUGAAAUGCGUAGAUAUCAGGAGGAACACCGGAGGCGAAGGCGGGUAACUGGGCCAACACUGACGCUGAGGCGCGAAAGCUAGGGGAGCAAACAGG